rnacentral:rRNA from 1 species
UGCGCGUAAAUUGCCCGAAUCCUGACACAGGGAGGUAGUGACAAGAAAUAACAAUACAGGGCUACUUCUAGUCUUGUAAUUGGAAUGAGUACAACUUACAUCUCUUCACGAGGAUCAAUUGGAGGGCAAGUCUGGUGCCAGCAGCCGCGGUAAUUCCAGCUCCAAUAGCGUAUAUUAAAGUUGUUGCAGUUAAAAAGCUCGUAGUCGGAUUUCGGGGCGGGCCGAGCGGUCUGCCGAUGGGUAUGCACUGUUCGGCGCGUCCUUCUUUCCGGAGACCAGCKKCUACUCUUAACUGAGCGGGACUGGGAGACGGAUCGUUUACUUUGAAAAAAUCAGAGUGUUUCAAGCAGGCAGCUCGCUCUUGCAUGGAUUAGCAUGGGAUAAUGAAAUAGGACUCUGGUGCUAUUUUGUUGGUUUCGAACACCGGAGUAAUGAUUAACAGGGACAGUCAGGGGCACUCGUAUUCCA